ACAAUUUGUAUAUUUUUUCAUUUGUUUAAAAACAUAAAUUGGUUGUAUAACAAUGAAGAAUUACAGGAAAAUUUAAUCCACACUUAAAAUCCACCUAUUCUAUUCUAUAUUUCAGAUUCAUAUUGAAUUAUUUUAGGUAUAUCAAGAUGAACCAUUUAUAGGAUGAGGCCAUUUUGUUGUAUAUAAUCAAGACACAUUAAACUCUGAAAAACUAAAAGUUUGUCUCAGAAUAUCUACAUCUCAUUUAAUUCUGAAUAGUUCAGCUAAGAUGAGAAUUCGCCUG